rnacentral:sRNA from 1 species
UAUUAGCCCCGAUGGUAACGGCAUCCUUUUUUUGCGGUGGCUUGAAAAAAGCGAUGGCAAAAAAAGAUACAGUGGACAGCGGGAAAUAGC